rnacentral:lncRNA from 1 species
CCAUAUUGUUUACAAGACUGUCGAUGAGGUCUUAAUUGGCUCAUACUUCCCUGCUCUUGGUACCCCGAUGUUCGUGAACCUUGGCUUUCACCUCUUUGCCCAAACUAAUUGCCCCUAGACUCUUGAAACAGAGGUGGGGCACUAACUGUAGAGUAGGAAGAUGAUGGCCUAGACGAUCUGUUAAAGAACCGAGGCCUAAA